GACGAACGCUGGCGGCGUGCUUAAUACAUGCAAGUCGAACGGAAAGGCCCUGCUUUUGUGGGUUGCUCGAGUGGCGAACGGGUGAGUAACACGUGAGUAACCUGCCCUUGUCUUUGGGAUAACUUCAGGAAACUGGGGCUAAUACCGGAUAGGAGCUCCUGCUGCAUGGUGGGGGUUGGAAAGUUUCGGCGGUUGUGGAUGGACUCGCGGCUUAUCAGCUUGAUGGUGGGGUAGUGGCUUACCAGGGCUUUGACGGGUAGCCGGCAUGAGAGGGUGACCGGCCACAUUGGGACUACGAUACGGCCCAGACUGCUACGGGAGGCAGCAGUCGGGAAUAUUGCACAGUGGGCGGAAGCCUGAUGCAGCAACGCCGCGUGCGGGAUGACGGCCUUCGGGUUGUAAACCGCUUUCGCCUGUGACGAAGCGUGAGUGACGGUAAUGGGUAAAGAAGCACCGGCUAACUACGUG
rnacentral:rRNA from 1 species